rnacentral:misc_RNA from 1 species
GUAAAGCUUCCCUUUAUUCAUUUUGCUUUUUCGUCUCAUUUAUAUUUUGGGGGAAAAAAAAUGGAGCGUGAGAUGUCAGCAGCAGCUGAAAAAAAUAGAAUCAAAACAAAUUCCAUUUCCAGUGACCUAAAACCCUAACCACAAACGAUGCCCUUGUAGAUCCUAAUUAAAUACUUCGCUUUCUCCUCUUCGUAUAGUCUCACCACCAACCUGUCAAUCCUCCUCAUGUUUCGCAGAAUCUGCUUCUCUUACUCCCGCUCUGCUAUUCUCCACUCCUCAUUCUUUCACGUCCAAACCCCUAUCUGCUCCCAAAUCUCUCACAAACCAAGUUCUCGCCUUUUCAAUUCUGCCCGCCACCGAUUCUCUGCAUCUUUUACCAAAAUGGGUGAUACCCACAAACCCAAAUCCACUAUCCCACAACUUGAAAAGGCAACUAAACCCGAAUUGCUCCGUGCCCUCGAGUCCUCUUUGGGUUCCUCAUUCAGCAGUGAACCCAUUUGCCCACCGCCGAAUCCUUUAAUCAUUGUAAUUAGCGGCCCGAGUGGGGUUGGCAAAGACGCAGUUAUCAGAAAAUUGAGAGAAGGGCGAGAAAAUUUGCAUUUUGUUGUAACUGCGACUAGCAGGCCAAUGCGUCCGGGCGAGGUUGAUGGUAAGGACUAUUAUUUUGUGUCAAAGGAGGAAUUUUUAUCGAUGGUGGAUAAAAAUGAGCUGUUAGAAUAUGCACUUGUGUAUGGUGAUUAUAAGGGGAUACCAAAAAGGCAGAUUACGGAUUAUAUGGCAAAAGGGUAUGAUAUUGUGUUGAGGGUAGAUAUACAGGGAGCACAGACAUUGAGGAAGAUCCUGGGGAAUUCGGCUGUGUUUAUAUUUUUGGUAGCGGAAAGCGAGUUGGAGCUUGUGGAUAGGUUGAUUGAUAGGAAGACGGAGACAGCAGAGUCUUUGCUUGUGAGGGUUGCCACCGCCAGAGAGGAGGUGCAACACAUCAAGAAUUUUGAUUAUGUGGUUGUGAAUGCUGAGGGGAAGUUGGAUUACGCGGUGAAGCUGGUUGAAUCAAUUAUUGAUGCUGAGAAGGCUAAGGUUCGACAAAGGAGAGCCGUGAUUUAGUUGAGUUGUGAUUUAGUUGAGUUUUUUGUUUUUGUCUCGAGUGGAAAUGGGAUAAUUGGCCAAAGGCGGGAGCAUUAGUCAACUACUUUCCUAACCUGGC